GAUUACGAUGCGACGCCGCGUGGGGGAUGAAGGCUUUCGAGUUGUAAACCCCUGUGUUAUGGGAAGAAUCGCCGGUUGGCGAUAAACCAACUGGUUUGACGGUACCAUAGUAGAAAGCUCCGGCUAACUACGUGCCAGCAGCUGCGGUAAUACGUAGGGAGCUAGCGUUGUCCGGAUUUACUGGGCGUAAAGGGCGUGUAGGCGGCCGUAUAAGUCAGACGUGAAAUCGCUUGGCUCAACCAAGCAACUGCGUUUGAUACUAUACGGCUUGAGUGUGGAAGAGGAAAGCGGAAUGUACGGUGUAGCGGUGGAAUGUGUAGAUAUCGUAUAGAACAUCUGUGGCGAAGGCGGCUUUCUGGUCCAAUACUGACGCUGAUACGCGAAAGCUAGGGUAGCAAAGAGGAUUAGAUACCCUUGUAGUCCUAGCCGUAAACGAUGGGUACUAAGUGUAGGGGGUAUUGAUUCCCUCUGUGCUGCAGCUAACGCAUUAAGUACCCCGCCUGGGGAUGACGACCGCAAGGUUAAAACUCAAGGUAAUUGACGGGGGGCCGCACAAGCGGUGGAGCAUGUCGCUUAAUUCGAAGCAACGCGAAGAACCUUAUCCAGGGCUUGACAUCGCUGUGACCGCCAUAGAAAUAUGGUUUUCCUUUGGGACAGAGUGACAGGUGCUGCAUGGCUGUCGUCAGCUCGUGUCGUGAGAUGUUGAGUUAAGUCCCGCAACGAGCGCAACCCCUGUUGUUAGUUGCCAUCAGAUAAUGCUAGGGGACUCUAACAAGACCGCUGGUGACGAGCCAAUC
rnacentral:rRNA from 1 species